GAAUGCUGACAUAAGUAACGAUAAAGCGGGUGAAAAGCCCGCUCGCCGGAAGACCAAGGGUUCCUGUCCAACGUUAAUCGGGGCAGGGUGAGUCGACCCCUAAGGCGAGGCCGAAAGGCGUAGUCGAUGGGAAACGGGUUAAUAUUCCCGUACUUGGUGUUACUGCGAAGGGGGGACGGAGAAGGCUAUGUUGGCCGGGCGACGGUUGUCCCGGUUUAAGCGUGUAGGUGUGUGUUCCAGGUAAAUCCGGUUCACUUUAACACUGAGGCGUGACGACGAGGCACUACGGUGCUGAAGCAACAAAUGCCCUGCUUCCAGGAAAAGCCUCUAAGCAUCAGGUAACACGAAAUCGUACCCCAAACCGACACAGGUGGUCAGGUAGAGAAUACCAAGGCGCUUGAGAGAACUCGGGUGAAGGAACUAGGCAAAAUGGUGCCGUAACUUCGGGAGAAGGCACGCU
rnacentral:rRNA from 1 species